GCGGAGGAAAAGAAACCAACAGGGAUUGCCCUAGUAACGGCGAGUGAAGCGGCAACAGCUCAAAUUUGAAAUCUGGCCCCCCGGCCCGAGUUGUAAUUUGUAGAGGAUGCUUCUGGGUAGCGACCGGUCUAAGUUCCUUGGAACAGGACGUCAUAGAGGGUGAGAAUCCCGUAUGCGACCGGCCCGCGCCCUCCACGUAGCUCCUUCGACGAGUCGAGUUGUUUGGGAAUGCAGCUCUAAAUGGGAGGUAAAUUUCUUCUAAAGCUAAAUACCGGCCAGAGACCGAUAGCGCACAAGUAGAGUGAUCGAAAGAUGAAAAGCACUUUGGAAAGAGAGUUAAAAAGCACGUGAAAUUGUUGAAAGGGAAGCGCUUACAACCAGACUUUGGGGCGGUGUUCCGCCGGUCUUCUGACCGGUCUACUCUCCGUCCCGAGGCCAACAUCAUCUGGGACCGCCGGACAAGACCUCAGGAAUGUAGCUCCCCCUCGGGGGAGUGUUAUAGCCUGUGGUGAUGCGGCGCGUCCCGGGUGAGGUCCGCGCUUCGGCAAGGAUGUUGGCGUAAUGGUUGUCAGCGGCCCGUCUUGAAACACGGACCAAGGAGUCUAACAUCUAUGCGAGUGUUCGGGUGUCAAACCCCUACGCGGAAUGAAAGUGAACGGAGGUGGGAAGGGUAACCUGCACCAUCGACCGAUCCUGAUGUCCUCGGAUGGAUUUGAGUAAGAGCAUAGCUGUUGGGACCCGAAAGAUGGUGAACUAUGCCUGAAUAGGGUGAAGCCAGAGGAAACUCUGGUGGAGGCUCGCAGCGGUUCUGACGUGCAAAUCGAUCGUCAAAUUUGGGUAUAGGGGCGAAAGACUAAUCGAAC
rnacentral:rRNA from 1 species